rnacentral:rRNA from 1 species
CAAAAGGGCCCAAAAUGCAGUCGUGCAGGGUCACCCGGUAAGCUUGCUCCUUGGGUGACGAGCGGCGGACGGGUGAGUAAUGUCUGGGAAACUGCCUGAUGGAGGGGGAUAACUACUGGAAACGGUAGCUAAUACCGCAUAACGUCGCAAGACCAAAGAGGGGGACCUUCGGGCCUCUUGCCAUCGGAUGUGCCCAGAUGGGAUUAGCUAGUAGGUGAGGUAAAGGCUCACCUAGGCGACGAUCCCUAGCUGGUCAUGAGAGGAUGACCAGCCACACUGGAACUGAGACACGGUCCAGACUCCUACGGGAGGCAGCAGUGGGCCCAAAUGGGGGGCCAAAGCCUUGCAAGCCUGAUGCAGCCAUGCCGCGUGUGUGAAGAAGGCCUUCGGGGGUUUGUAAAAGCACCUUUCAGCGGGGGAGGAAAGGGAGCAAGACCUUAAUAACGUUUUGUUUCAUUGGACGUUUCCCCGCAGGAGGAAGCACCGGGCUAACUUCCGUGGCAGGCAGCCGGCGGUAAUACCGGAGGGGUGCAAGGCGUUAAUCGGGAAUGACUUGGGCGUAAAAGCGCACGGCAGGCGGUUCUGUUAAGUUGGGAUGUGAAAUCCCCGGGGCUUAACCUGGGAACUGCAUUCAAAAACUGACAGGCUAGAGUCUCGUAGAGGGGGGUAGAAUUCCAGGUGUAGCGGUGAAAUGCGUAGAGAUCUGGAGGAAUACCGGUGGCGAAGGCGGCCCCCUGGACGAAGACUGACGCUCAGGUGCGAAAGCGUGGGGAGCAAACAGGAUUAGAUACCCUGGUAGUCCACGCUGUAAACGAUGUCGAUUUGGAGGUUGUGGUCUUGAACCGUGGCUUCCGGAGCUAACGCGUUAAAUCGACCGCCUGGGGAGUACGGCCGCAAGGUUAAAACUCAAAUGAAUUGACGGGGGGCCCGCACAAGCGGGUGGAGCAUGUGGUUUAAAUUCGAUGCAACGCGUAAGAACCCUUACCUACUCUUUGACAUCCAAGAGAAAGACUGCAAAAAAUGCGGGUUGUGCCUUCGGGGAGCUCUGAAAACAGGUGGCUGCAUGGCUUGUCGUCCAGCUCGUGGUUGGUGAAAUGGUUGGGUUUAAGUCCCGCCAACGAGGGGCAACCCUUUAUCCUUUGGUUGCCAGCCCCUUCGGGGUGGGGAACCCCAAGGGGGAACGCCGGUGAUAAACCGGAGGAAGGUGGGGAUGACGUCAAGUCAUCAUGGCCCUUACGAGUAGGGCUACACACGUGCUACAAUGGCGUAUACAAAGAGAAGCGACCUCGCGAGAGCAAGCGGACCUCAUAAAGUACGUCGUAGUCCGGAUUGGAGUCUGCAACUCGACUCCAUGAAGUCGGAAUCGCUAGUAAUCGUAGAUCAGAAUGCUACGGUGAAUACGUUCCCGGGCCUUGUACACACCGCCCGUCACACCAUGGGAGUGGGUUGCAAAAGAAGUAGUAGAGUUAACGCUUUCCCCUUGUUGCGAACUUUUAGUUUUCCGUUUCCCCCCC